GAAAUAUUAAAAUUAAAUGAAUUUCUAAUUCAAUUUUUAAAUAUUAAAUUAUUUAUAUUUCU
rnacentral:tRNA from 1 species